rfam:Gossypium raimondii Chr13_contig_484, whole genome shotgun sequence.
AGUCCAUAGUGAGGACACAUUCUCAACAAAUCUUGAAAUCUCUCCCAUGUAUCAUAAAGAGUUUCAAUGUUAAAUUAAACAAAAGAAGAUAUGUCAUUCCUUAACAU